rnacentral:tRNA from 1 species
CGGAGCGUAGCGCAGUCCGGUAGCGCACUUGUCUGGGGGACAAGGGGUCGUGGGUUCGAAUCCCGCCGCUCCGACCA